UACGUAGGGUGCGAGCGUUGUCCGGAAUUAUUGGGCGUAAAGAGCUCGUAGGCGGUCUGUCGCGUCGGUCGUGAAAACUUGGGGCUUAACCCUGAGCUUGCGGUCGAUACGGGCAUGACUGGAGUUCGGCAGGGGAGACUGGAAUUCCUGGUGUAGCGGUGAAAUGCGCAGAUAUCAGGAGGAACACCGGUGGCGAAGGCGGGUCUCUGGGCCGAUACUGACGCUGAGGCGCGAAAGCUAGGGUAGCAAACGGG
rnacentral:rRNA from 1 species